rnacentral:rRNA from 1 species
GCUUAACACAUGCAAGUCGAGCGAGAAUCGUUUAUUGAAGGCUUCGGCUGGAAAUAGAUGAGGAAAGCGGCGAACGGGUGAGUAACGCGUGGGCAACCUGGCCUUAAGAAAAGGAUAGCCCCCGGAAACGGGGAGUAAUACUUUAUGAGAAUGAAAGAGGGCAUCCUACUUUCAUUCAAAGCGCAAGCGCUUAAGGAUGGGCCCGCGUAUCAUUAGCUAGUUGGUGAGAUAACAGCCCACCAAGGCAACGAUGAUUAGACGGUCGGAGAGAGCGAACGGCCACAUUGGAGAUGAGAACCGGUCCAAACUCCUACGGGAGGCAGCAGUGGGGAAUAUUGCGCAAUGGAGAAGAACGCUGACGCAGCAAUACCGCGUGAGCGAAGAAGGUCUUCGGAUCGUAAAGCUCUGUUAUCAGGGAAGAAGAAAAUGACGGUACCUGAUGAGCAAGUCCCGGCUAACUACGUGCCAGCCGCCGCAGUAA